rnacentral:rRNA from 1 species
UACAUGGGGUGCAAACGUUGCUCGGAAUUAUUGGGCGUAAAGCGCACGUAGGCGGUCCGUUAAGUCGGAUGUGAAAGCCCCCGGCUCAACCGGGGAAGUGCAUCCGAAACUGGCAGGCUAGAGUACGAAAGAGGGUCGCGGAAUUCCCGGUGUAGAGGUGAAAUGCGUAGAGAUCGGGAGGAACACCUGUGGCGAAGGCGACUACCUGGCCUGUUUCUUGACGCUGAGGCGCGAAAGCUAGGGGAGCAAACAGG